CACGUAGGGCGCAAGCGUUGGCCGGAAUUAUUGGGCGUAAAGAGCGCGUAGGCGGUCUGUUGCGUCUGCUGUGAAAACCCGGGGCUUAACCCCUGGCUUGCAGUGGAUACGGACAGACUAGAGGUAGGUAGGGGAGAAUGGAAUUCCCGGUGUAGCGGUGAAAUGCGCAGAUAUCGGGAGGAACACCGGUGGCGAAGGCGGUUCUCUGGGCCUUACCUGACGCUGAGGAGCGAAAGCGUGGGGAGCGAACAGG
rnacentral:rRNA from 1 species